rnacentral:tRNA from 1 species
GCCGACGUGGCGAAAUUGGUAGACGCGCUGGUCUUAGGAACCAGUGGGAGUAAUCCCUUGAAGGUUCGAUUCCUUUCGUCGGCACCA